rnacentral:rRNA from 1 species
AGUUUGAUCCUGGCUCAGGAUGAACGCUGGCGGCGUGCCUAAUACAUGCAAGUCGAACGAAUCUCUUCGGAGAUGAGUGGCGAACGGGUGAGUAAUACAUAGGUAACCUGCCCCUGUGCGGGGGAUAACAGGAGGAAACUCCUGCUAAUACCGCAUAGCCAUGAGCACCGCAUGGAGCUCAUGCCAAAUAUCCUUUCGGGGAUAGCGCAGGGAUGGACCUAUGGCGCAUUAGCUUGUUGGCGGGGCAACGGCCCACCAAGGCAACGAUGCGUAGCCGGCCUGAGAGGGCGGACGGCCACAUUGGGACUGAGACACGGCCCAGACUCCUACGGGAGGCAGCAGUAGGGAAUUUUCGGCAAUGGGGGAAACCCUGACCGAGCAACGCCGCGUGAGCGAAGAAGGCCUUCGGGUCGUAAAGCUCUGUUGUAAAGGAAGAACGGCGCAUACAGGAAAUGGUAUGCGAGUGACGGUACUUUACCAGAAAGCCACGGCUAACUACGUGCCAGCAGCCGCGGUAAUACGUAGGUGGCGAGCGUUAUCCGGAAUCAUUGGGCGUAAAGAGGGAGCAGGCGGCCGCAAGGGUCUGUGGUGAAAGACCGAAGCUAAACUUCGGUAAGCCAUGGAAACCGGGCGGCUAGAGUGCGGAAGAGGAUCGUGGAAUUCCAUGUGUAGCGGUGAAAUGCGUAGAUAUAUGGAGGAACACCAGUGGCGAAGGCGACGGUCUGGGCCGCAACUGACGCUCAUUCCCGAAAGCGUGGGGAGCAAAUAGGAUUAGAUACCCUAGUAGUCCACGCCGUAAACGGUGGUCACUAAGUGUCGGGGGUCAAACCCCGGUGCUGCAGUCAACGCAAUAAGUGACCCGCCUGAGUAGUACGUUCGCAAGAAUGAAACUCAAAGGAAUUGACGGAAGG